UACGUAGGGGGCAAGCGUUGUCCGGAAUUAUUGGGCGUAAAGCGCGCGCAGGCGGUCAGUUAAGUUGGGUGUUUAAGCCCGGGGCUCAACCCCGGUACGCAUCCAAAACUGGUUGACUUGAGUGUAGGAGAGGAAAGUGGAAUUCCCGGUGUAGCAGUGAAAUGCGUAGAGAUCGGGAGGAACAUCAGUUGCGAAGGCGGCUCUCUGGACCAGCACUGACACUGAGGCACGAAAGCGUGGGGAGCAAACAGG
rnacentral:rRNA from 1 species